rnacentral:misc_RNA from 1 species
CCCACGGAUCUGUAGACAACGUAUUCGAUGGCGCGAUUGGCGGACGACAACUCCAGACGAACGUGAGCGACGGCGAACGAAGGCGGCGUGAAAAGAUGCGGGCGACUGACGGAGCUGGUCGGCGACUGUGGUGGAGGAAAACGAACGACUCUCGCGGCUCAAGGUCGCGAGAACGGCAAUGGCGUCGAGGUCGGAGGUGGG